rnacentral:rRNA from 1 species
CCUACGGGGAGCUGCAGUGAGGAAUAUUGGUCAAUGGACGAGAGUCUGAACCAGCCAAGUAGCGUGAAGGAUGACUGCCCUAUGGGUUGUAAACUUCUUUUAUAUGGGAAUAAAAUGUUCCACGUGUGGGAUUUUGUAUGUACCAUAUGAAUAAGGAUCGGCUAACUCCGUGCCAGCAGCCGCGGUAAUACGGAGGAGCCGAGCGUUAUCCGGAUUUAUUGGGUUUAAAGGGAGCGUAGGUGGAUUGUUAAGUCAGUUGUGAAAGUUUGCGGCUCAACCGUAAAAUUGCAGUUGAAACUGGCAGUCUUGAGUACAAUAGAGGUGGGCGGAAUUCGUGGUGUAGCGGUGAAAUGCUUAGAUAUCACGAAGAACUCCGAUUGCGAAGGCAGUUCACUGGACUGCAACUGACACUGAGGCUCGAAAGUGUGGGUAUCAAACAGGAUUAGAUACCCUUGUAGUC